rnacentral:tRNA from 1 species
UUUAGGGAGACCUACACCCCUCAAAUCUUGAAAGCAAAAUGUAAAUAGAGAUUGAGUUGGUCUAUCCUAGGUCGGUCGCAGAUAAUUGUUGAAGCUUUCAAACUAUGAUUUGGUUCGAUAUGGGCUAUUAGCUCAGGUGGUUAGAGCGCACCCCUGAUAAGGGUGAGGUCCCUGGUUCGAGUCCAGGAUGGCCCACCUGAAAGUAGUUAGUAAUUGCUAAUUUAUAAUUCGUAAAUAACUACGAAUUAAGGAUUAAGAAUUACGAAUUAUAAUCUGGGGGUUUAGCUCAGUUGGUAGAGCGCCUGCUUUGCAAGCAGGAUGUCAGCGGUUCGAGUCCGCUAACCUCCACAUUGGAAAAAAGCCAGCAAAGUGGUGAAAACCAGACUGCUGGGAGAAUAAUCCAGCCAGAACCUUGAAAACUGCAUAGUAACGCGAAAAAUAGCAGGCAGACACAGACAUCGAAAAGAUGAAAGUGAAAGCAGGUGAAAACCAAUGAAAUUGU